AGUGAACGCUGGCGGCAGGCCUAACACAUGCAAGUCGAACGGCAGCACAGAGGAGCUUGCUCCUUGGGUGGCGAGUGGCGGACGGGUGAGGAAUACAUGGGAAUCUGCCCAAUCGUGAGGGAUAACGUAGGGAAACUUACGCUAAUACCGCAUACGACCUACGGGUGGAAGCGGCGGACCGCAAGGCGUCGCGCGGUUGGAUGAGCCCAUGUCGGAUUAGCUAGUUGGCGGGGUAAAGGCCCACAAAGGCGACGAUCCGUAGCUGGUCUGAGAGGAUGAUCAGCCACACUGGAACUGAGACACGGUCCAGACUCCUACGGGAGGCAGCAGUGGGGAAUAUUGGACAAUGGGCGCAAGCCUGAUCCAGCCAUGCCGCGUGAGUGAAGAAGGCCCUCGGGUUGUAAAGCUCUUUUGUCCGGAAAGAAAAGCUUUCGGUUAAUACCCGGAAGUCCUGACGGUACCGGAAGAAUAAGCACCGGCUAACUUCGUGCCAGCCGCCGCGGUAACAC
rnacentral:rRNA from 1 species